CAAGGGACAGAAACAGAGAUAGCUCUUUCAAUAGCAUCUUGACACUGUGGUCAUGUGUCCACCAGCCAGCCCUGGAUCAUUGGGACCAGUAUGGCUGUGGAAGAGAGGACUGUGGUGCCUGUAGUGAUGAUGUCAAGUAUGCCACUAUUUAUCAGAAGAUCCAGUAUCCAGUCUCCAAGCCUAAACCACAUCGAUUUCCCACAGCAUUUUAUUCUUGGCACCCUCUGGCCCACAUCCCAUUUGACAAAGAAAGCUGAGUGACCUCAGUUGUUAUGAGCUGGAACUAAAGCAAAUGAAUUUAUUAAUAUAUGUUGAUAGUUGAUGGAGUCACAGAAUUGCACUUGAUCCUCUGAACAACCUUGACACUAGAACUUAGUAUGUACUGUAUUAUUUUACAAAUAAGAAAAUCAAAGGUUCUAAGGGAAUCUGUGCUUUAACCAAGGACAUAGGACUAGUGAGUGAGUGUUGGUGCCCAGAGACCCAACUCCAUCAGCCUGCGAAGCCCAGAUUCCCCGACGAUAAGGUCCUCACAGAAGAGGUUUGAAAGCCUUCUGUCCUGCCGGUUCAAACAAUUCUCCUGAGGACAGAUGACCAAGUUCAGGGACAAAAUCAAUUUCUCCCAUUCUCUUCCUGAGACAUACAAUAAAUGUAGUAUGUAUUCAGCCCUACAAGCAGCUGAGGAAAUGCCCACUUUUCCUCAUUAUUCUUUCAACCAAUAUCUACUGAGCUACCCUUUCCCCCAGGUACCAGGAACCUAAGUUACUUGCCCUCAGGCAGCUUACACUCUUGGGAAGUUAUUGAAAUAACUUGCCUUACAGGUCAUCUUAUUUAACUUCUUCCCCAUAUCUGUCAGGCUCUUUAUAAGAGCACACACAAGCUAGAAAUAGUUUGAAGGAUAAUGAGCUAAUUAUUUGACCAUCCAUCACAACUGAUGACCUAAAAUGGGUUAGGAACUGUAGAGAUCAUUUAAACACCUGAGAUAUUUUUUUCAACAAGAUAGUUUGGAGAGGCAAAUGGCUUCCUUAAUUCCAUGUAAUAAAAUAUUCAUUUCUAGGUAGCUAUACAUAAAUUAAAAUCACUUUUUGAUGACCCAGCCUUAACAUGCACGCAAUUAUUUAUAUUAAUGUGAAAGUAAUUACAAUUAUAACCAUCUAAAUCCAUCUUCUUCUUUUUUGACACUGCUGCCAUCACUGUGCCGAUUGUUUCUGGUCACUGUGUAAACUCUGAAGUCACUUCUCUGUCCCUGCCUGCUUGGUACCUGUCUGCUCCCUGUAUGGAGCUGCUGUCACCACUGUAGAAGGUAUUGGAAUUGCUCUGUUGGGAUUUUCAUUAAGGUUAUAUAUGUUGAGCGAUCAGAAGGUGGCAUGGUGGUUAAGGUGCUGAACUUCCACAUGGCCAGUUGUGACUUGAAUCUGGA